UCUAGGAUAAGCUAAUUAAUUAAGCUAUUGGGCUCAUAACCCAAAAAUGAGAAUAUUCUCCUAGAA
rnacentral:tRNA from 1 species